rnacentral:rRNA from 1 species
GAUGAACGCUGGCGGCGUGCUUAACACAUGCAAGUCGAACGAAGCAUAAAGCGUUGCUUGCAACACUUAUGACUUAGUGGCGGACGGGUGAGUAACGCGUGAGGAACCUGCCUCAUGCAGGGGGAUAACAGUUAGAAAUGACUGCUAAUACCGCAUAAGCGCACAGUACCGCAUGGUACAGUGUGAAAAGAUUUAUCAGCAUGAGAUGGACCCGCGUCUGAUUAGCUAGUUGGUGAGGUAACGGCUCACCAAGGCGACGAUCAGUAGCCGACUUGAGAGAGUGAUCGGCCACAUUGGGACUGAGACACGGGCCCAAAACUCC